UGACUCUCGGCAAUGGAUAUCUCGGCUCUUGCAUCGAUGAAGAACGUAGUGAAAUGCGAUACUUGGUGUGAAUUGCAGAAUCUCGUGAACCAUUGAGUCUUUGAACGCAAGUUGUGCCCGAGGCUUUGUGGCCGAGGGCACGCCUGCUUGGGCG
rnacentral:rRNA from 1 species